rnacentral:lncRNA from 1 species
CUUUGUCCUAGUCCUACUAACACUCAUUAAAAACCAGCACUAUGUAUGAGUGCUGUGCCACUGCUGUCUCUGUAACUGGCAGCACUUGCUUAGGGCUCCUAAGAUUGGCUCCUUAUGGGGUUGGCUUUUUCAUGAACUUCGGUGUGAGAAACAGGGUCUUCCUUGGAUGCCUUUGAAUUGUGCCCUCUACCAAAUACCCUCCCACCUUGUAGACAGAGACAUGAUAUGCACAAGAAUAUUCAUGACAGCUUUAUUUGUGAUAGCCCCAAACUGUAAACAACAGAAAUGUCCAUCAACAUUGGAGUGGGCAAAUAAACUGUAGCAUAUUCACACAAUGAAUACUACACAGCAGUGGAGAAAUUACGAACUUCUGGUACUUGCAUCCAGACAGGAGGGUGAUUACCUGGGGGGAACUGGUCCAGAAGAGACAUGAGGAAACCUUAUCAAGGUGCUGGGAAUUUUCCAUAACUGGAUCUGGUUCCUCAAGAGAAAACACAUGUAAAAAUUCACUGAGCUGCAUCUAAGAUUUGUGUACUUUACAGGAUGUCAGUUGCAUCUUAAAAAAAAAACAUAACAAUCAAACAAAUCUUGCUAGGCCAGUUUACUGAGGCCCAGAUGGGGAUGGGGGAAUUUACUAAAACAGUUCUGUUUGAGGACCAUAAACUUGCUUUGACUGUCAAAUAUAGCAGGGUCCAACUACCUUUAGUAGAGUAGUACUAGAGACAAUAACAAACUGUGGGGGUUUUUUUGUUUGUUUUUUGUUUUGUUUUGUUUUUUAAGACAGAGUCUCAUUAUCAUCUGGGCUGGAGUGUGGUGGUGUGAUCUUGGCUCACUGCAACCUCCAUCUCUCAGAUUCAAGAGAUUCUCAUGCUUCAGCCUCCUGAGGAGCUGGGAUUACAGGCACCCGCCACCACACCUGGCUAAUUUUUGUAUUUUUAGUAGAGAUGGGAUUUCACCAUGUUGGUCAGGCUAGUCCUGAACUCCUGACCUCAGGUGAUCCACCCGCCUUGGCCUCUCAAAGUGCUGGAGUUACAGGUGUGAGCCACCGCACCUGGCCAAAACUGUGUGUUUUAAUAGUCUUUACAGUAGAAGAGUGAUAUAGAACACAGCAUAAAUAAUUAUUAAUUUUUAUUUCAUUUUAUGUGGAUAUGAGGACAGUUUCAUCAAGAUUAAAGGGCUUGUUAUUAGCUAGAUAAUGACCCCCCACCUUCAAAAUUUCUACAUCCUAUUUCUUGGAACCUGCGAUUGUUACUUUAUAUACCAAAAAAAGACAUUCAGAUGUGAUUGAAUUAAGGAUCUUGUGAUGGAGAGAUUAUCCUCUUCUAUAAG